rnacentral:tRNA from 1 species
AGCCUCUGUGGCUCAGCUGGUAGAGCGACUGAUUCGUAAUCAGUAGGCCGCGGGUUCAAAUCCCGCCAGAGGCUU